GGGCUUGCUCCCAGCAUGGCUCCCAUGGGUUGGGGCUCAGCCUUCCCAGCCCCAUCCCUCUCCUAGGGUGCCCCUUGUCCCACAUGCAGGGCACCGGCCACUGGCCACCCUCUGCCUUACACUGGCUGCCUGCCCUGGGUCGUGGAGCAGUUGCUGGAGGGGAACAGCCUGACAUUCCUGCUGCUGUGUGUGACACUGUCAGACACCUCCAGAGAAGAGGUCCUGGAGGCCCUGGGGCUGGCCGAGCGGGUGAAGGGGGUGGCCAGGAGGAUCUCAGCCACGCUCUGGGACCCUGUGCAAGAGAUCACAGCGCGUCGGAGGCUGAUCCGAGGGCUGCGCCUGGAGCUGCUGGCUGGAGCUGCACUCCCUGAGCAGGAGGUGGCCCUGGCCCAGCUGCGGAAAGCGCUGCGGGAGCUGCGGGUGCUGAAGAACCAAAGGUGGGAGAAGAAGCAGGCAACAGCCGAGAUGCUCAGGACAAGUGAAAUGCAUCAAAUCACUACAAAGAUGAGCACUGGCCAGGACAUUACCCCCUCAUCCAGGGAUAACCCAGGUGCAGGAG